rnacentral:rRNA from 1 species
UUCAGGGGUAAACCUGAGAAACCCGAAAGGUCGAAAGGGGAGAUUCAGCGUGUCUCGAUCGUGGCGCUGGACGGUCGUGCGACGGACGACGUACGCGUCGUUCGCGCCUUUCGUUCUCCGAACUGCGUUUCGAACGCGUGCACUUCUCCCCCUGUAGGACGUCGCGAUUCGUUGGGUGCCGGCCUAAGGCCCGAGGUGGAGUUCGUCCGGACGUUUCGGCGUUCGUGACGAACCCUCGGUGUUUCCCGGUCGGCUCGCUCGACGAUAUACAGAUGGCGCGGGGCCGCUACCUUUUUGAAGUUAGCGUUCGACCUUCGGCAAGCGCGCUCCUCGCGACGGUGAUCGGACCCGGUGCCGGUCCCGUCCCCGGACGACUGUUGGCCGAGGUGUUCUCGAACAGACCUCGUCGAAACGCCGAUCUGCGACGCUAUAGCUUUGGGUACUUUCAGGACCCGUCUU